UGAGCGAAAUUCAAAGUACUUUGUUGGUCUGAAAUAGUAUGAGUAUUGCAUUGCUGCUCGUGCGAGUGCACUUUACACCAUUCCGUGGCUACAUUCCAGCAGUCCUUAUUAUCUUCUCGUUGACCGAGGCAUACAUGACGUUCAAGUUUAUUCACCGGGCUUGUGACCGGGGGUGUUUUGUGUCCUAAAAGUAUCAUUUCAACGGUUUCGUUCUGUCUUGUCCUCUCACAUAAUUUCUCAUUGCCUAAAACUUGUUCCGAAUUUUCAGCUGAACUAUUCAACUCCGUAGACAGCAUAGACUUACCUAAAGUUGAACGGCAACUUGUUGUUGAAAUAUUAGACUCAUUGUUAAGGUCAGUCUGCUUCUCUGUGAUCAUAGAUACUUCUAUGCUCAUGUCAGUUGUAAAGUCUAAUCUAGCCACAGAUCGAGAAACUCGAGACUUGAUACUUUGACAGGACAUGUCGCUAAUAUUAUUAUGAAUCGGAGACAUAUUUAGUGGUGAUAAAUUCCCAGAGUUUGCCAUUGGCGUUCCAUGAUUGCGCUCCACCUUUUGCGAAUCAG
rnacentral:misc_RNA from 1 species